UAGGAUUGUACCUGUCCACUGACAUGGUGCUGAAACGGGCUAUGACGCAGGGGGAGAUGCAGGAAUGUCGGAGGAAAAUGGGGUUUAAAAGGGUUAAAAUAUCUCCCCAUCAAGGCCAACCGCAGAGUAGCCUACGAAAAGAAUAGAUUGCAAUAAUAUGAAUGCUAAAGAUAUUAAAACACAAUUGAUUAAGCCUAGGCCGACAUAUAUAGCAGUCCUAAUCCUGAGCGCACGAUCGGGAGGUGGAAGUUGCGCUUUAGAUGCCUUCACAAGUCCAGCGGAGGGCUCCAGUUUUCGCCGGCCAAGUCAUGCGCUGUGAUAUGUGUGACAGCCACCGCUGGACUGGGCAUAGGGCAUGGCGGGCAUAUGCCCAGUGGCCUGAAGCCUUUUUUUUUAUUUUUUAUUCAUGCCAAACUCGCGUCUAACGUAGCAGGCCACGUUAACUUCAAUGCAGGCCACAUUAACGUCAAUUCAAGUUAAUGCAAGUUAAACUGGCAGAUCUGCCCUUUAUCAUGAUUGAUUGAAGCCUGGGCCAAUGAGGUGAGGGGCAGGCCAAUUACGCCUACCCCUCCAUCUCAGCCUCCGUUGGUGACUUGGUUGGUUAGCCACUGCUAGCAGGCAGAUCGAAAACGGGCAAUAUGGACCCUAGUGGGAAGAAAAGAAAGGGUGGCGCUGAAAGAGCCAGGGACCAGAAAAAGCAGCCCUUCAGGCAGAUGCUACGAAAUGCCUAAAAAUAGCUGAUAUGUUUGCUGCUCGUGGACAUGGAGCCUCCACAUCUGCAGCAGCAGCAUCAACAGGUAGUGGAGGAGAAGAUGCUCGACAGCAGGUGGACGAGGCGGCCAUGACGGUUCCCAUGCUUAAGGAGUGCUGGGUGUUGCUGCUGAGAAGAGGCAGAUGGGAUAGCAUCAGCAUCUCUCCCACUUGUUGGAGUGUGUGUGUGUGUGUGUGUGUGUGUGUGUGUGUGUGUGUGUGUGUGUGUGUGUGUGUGUGUGUGUGUGUGUGUGUGUGUUCUGGUCCAUUUGAAAGCUCUCAUUGGUUUGCAUGCUGCAUGUAAGUUACCCAUUCCUUUUCGGUUUAAUGUUUGUUUUAUUGAUAUUCAUAUUCUUAAUAUACAGUAUAAUUGUGUAUUUAUUUACUUUACUUUUUCACACACCUAACAUUUUAUUUUGUAUUGACAGUUGAUUAGCAACACAAAUUGGUAAUAAGAGAAAUCCUUGCUGUUAACUUGUAGCUUGUAGUGAGAUAAACAUCUUGUGGCCUUUUUGUGUAUUGCAAUUUAGGUCAGCCUUUGCAUCCAGUCAUUGGUACAGUCAUCCAGUCAUUUCUUGCUUUAAUAAUGCAUUGUAUCACACAAGUAAUGAUAUAUUAUUCAUAGUUUAGCCUACAGU
rnacentral:lncRNA from 1 species